UCCCUGGUGGCUCAGACAGUAAAGAAUCUGUCUGCAAUGCAGGAGACCCAGGCUCAAUCCCUGGGUAGGGAA
rnacentral:tRNA from 1 species